UACACCGGACUGCUCAAAGUCUCCCUCUUCAUGCCACCAAGGCAUUUAUGGAGGAGGCAAAGCAAGAGUUUGACCGGAUGUAGAGCUGCGCAAGCCUUGAAGUGCUUGGGCUUCAUGAUUUAUCAUCCUUCCAUUGUGUCCUCACUUCCACCGGAUGAUGUCAAUUUGGUAUUAGAGUCACUGUCCAAACUUAUUACAACCACUAAAUUAAAGUCUGCUUGUAAUUUAGGGGUAUGGUGUAUAUCUGUUCAACAGUCAGGAGAAUCGUGUCUUGCUACUCACUUCCAUUCUUUGUUACUAGCAAUUGUUCAUGCCUUGGACAACCCAAUGGGUUCUUUGUCAACAACAUUUGAAGCUACCCAGGCUGUAAUGAAGCUAUGUGGUCAACUAAGUGAACAAAUGAGAGACUCAUCCCAUAUAUGGGCUCCUCCAAUAUACAGAAGACUUCUCAGCACAGAUAAGAGGGAAAGGGAUGCCUUGGAACGAUGUCUAUUGAAGGUCAAAACUUCAGUCAUUCCUCCUUCCUUGGAUCUCUCGAAGGUUCUUGUCAAAGAUAUGAAGUUAAAUCUGCUUAGUGGGAUGAAGAAAUUGUUAGAUAAGGGUAUGAAGAUUCAAGUUAUUCAAGCAUGGGGAUGGUUUAUCCGAAUGCUUGGAUCACAUGCUUUGAAGACUAGACAAUUAGUUAAUGACUCACUGAAAAUUCCUGAAUGUACAUUUACAGACCUUGAUCCUCAAGUUCAGAUUGCUACACUGGUUGCUUGGGAAGGUCUUAUCGAUGCUCUUGUUCACUGCACAAUGUUAGAUCCCAAUAAAAAUACCCCAGCCAAGGAAAAUCAUCUUCAAAAACAACAUUCAUUAGAAAGGAACAAUUGUGAUGUCCAAGCAAAUGGUUUUUCCAAGAGCAUAAGACUAAUAAUGACCCCAUUGAAUGGCAUUAUGUCUAGUAAGUGUGAUAUAUCAGUCCACUCAUCAUGCUUGAAUACAUGGUGUUAUUUGCUUCAUAAGCUUGAAACUUCUAUCAACGAACCCUCAUUGAUAAAGAUGGUAUUAGAGCCUAUUUUAAAAGCAAUAUUUCAGAAUGGACCUGAUAGCAAGAGCAUCUGGUUGUGGGGGCUGGGCCUAGAUCUGCUCAGUGAUUGUAUCUCACAGAAGUGUAGGGAUGUCCUCUGCCAAUCAACUAACCAGUUCAGAGAUAGAAUCUUUGAAACUGGGCCUUCUCUAUCUGCCAAAUGCUCUUGGAAGCUUCACCCAAUUAGAUGGUUGCCAUGGGAUAUCAGUCAAUUGGAUUUUUUUCUUAGUAUGAUUUCUGUUCUCAUUUGUCAAGCAUCAAGACCAACAGUGACUUCUGAUCAUAGAAGUCUUGUUUAUGAUGCUGCCUUAAAGUUAUUUACAUAUGUUUUAAAAGGAGUCAAACAUGAUUUGGAAAGUACAUCUACCAAUUAUGAUGGUAUUAUGUUGUGCUUGAAAUCAAUAUUAACAUUCAUAAAAAAUGUAUGCGAGGAUUUAUGCACAGAUGGCACUGAAAAGCAUGAUCUGUACUACAUUUCCAUUCGGUUUAUAGAAGUUGUCACAAAGGAAUUAGAUUCUUUGAUCUUGGGAUCUCCUCUCUACAAGUUUUCUUUAGACCUAAAGUACAUUGGUGGCACACAAUCAGGUGAUCGCAAUGAACACCUAAAUUUUAGUGUCAGUCGUGUUUCUUAUAUGGAUAAGGUUUCUCCAAUGGUUUAUUUGAUAGCGGUUUACUUCCAUAUGCUGGACUGGUUAGCAAUGAAUUCUUCUCAAUCAGACUGCAAGCCGCAAAGAAGCUCUGAGUAUUUUAAAUUCAUAUUUUCUUCAAGUGAUUCCCCAGACAAUCUACUUACUUUUGUUGGCUUCUUGUACAAAGAUGUUCGACCAAUUCACUUAAAAAUAUGGAUAACAUUGGCUGAAGGAUUGAAUGGCUGUGCACGUGAUCCAAACUGUAGGUCUCUACGGGUAGCCAUGUCUGAUAGUGCUGCAUAUUCUUCAAUAUGCCAUCUUUUAAUUUAUCCCAUUGUGGUACACACUGAAACUGCAAGAUUGACCUUGUCAAAUGCUGGUGCCUCUUCAGAGAAUUAUAAAGUAUUACUAGAAGAAAACCCAAGGCUUGACCUUGUUAUUCAAACAUGGAUAUCGCUUUACGAAUCUCUUAGUGCUUCAGGCUUCGGAUGUUCAACAACCACCAAUUUUUCUGGAGAUCUGUGCACAUUGUUAACCAGGUGCCUUGAUGAUAGCAUUGACAUGGCUGAGAGCGGCGUUGAACUUCAUUUGAAAUGCAAUGAUACUGAUCUUGGUAUCCUUCAUUUAUCUGGCAAUUUCAUGAUAUGCAUUCUUGACCACAUUCAGACUUCAGAAUUAGUUUCAGAAACAGAAAUAAGUAACACUGACCGUGAGAGCAAAAUUCUCUGUGGCAUAAAUAACUGCUUAAAACUUGCUGCUAGGUAUAUGAAUUUGUUGAUGAAAACGGUGGUGAUAGACCCACUGCCUGGUUUUGUUGGGACCUCAAGAGUAUCUUCUGCAUUAGCAAAUUUCAUUAGCCGCCUUCACUGGAAGCAAGAUAUUCUUCUUUUUCUGGAGAUUAUUUCCUGUCCACUACUUCAAUGGCUAUCAAAUAUGGUAAAUCAGGAUGAAACAACAAAUGAGCAACUCCAACAUCUGUGGAAUGAAAUUUUAAGUUGUUUAAAAAGAAGUCAACCUCCAAUGAACUUUGGUUCCGCUUUACUCAGACUUCAUGAAACCUUGUUUGAAAAAACUCUUGAUCAUCCAUAUCCCUCCAUUUCAAAACCAACCAUCACAUUUUGGAAUUCCACGUUUGGUCAACAAGUUAUUCUAGAUUUCCCACCGAAUCUGCUCUCUGUCCUCGACAGACUAUCUAGGAAUGGGAAAUUAAAACUCCAGAAGAGAAGCCUACCACCUCUUCAAAAAUGUCAUUCCUCUAAGGAAGUCAGUGGCACUCUGCCAGGAUACCAGGUCACUGCAACACAUAAUAGGACAUCUAAGAGAAUUGAGUUAGUGCCGGACGCACAAAAAGAUGCAUCUCCUUUGAGUGUUAAGAAAAGGAGAUUAGAACUGACUGAGCAUCAAAAGGAAGUGAGGCGAGCGCAGCAAGGAAGGGAAAGGGAUAGUGGAGGACAUGGCCCUGGAAUUAGAACUUACACUAAUGCUGAUUUCUCUCAAGGGCUUGAUGAAUCACAAGAAAGCCAGGAAAUAAGAGACUCAGAAGCCAUACUGCAGAUGUUGAGGAAAACUAUUUAGUUACCUCAGUGCUGAAUUGCAUUGGCACUAAAACAGCCCCAGCAGAGCAGACAGUUGCCGCCACCACCACAAGCACGUUGCUUUUUUGGUCGUUCCUCUGUUGUUUUUGCUCUUGCUGCUGUCGUGUACGCCUCUUUCGACCAUCGCUGCGCUGUCGCUCUGUUCUGCUGUCUAUUGUUAUGCCGUUCACUGCUCUUUCCUCACCAUGACUCUCGCUCUCUGGAAGCCCGCUUGGCGUUGCAAAUUCUAGCCUUUAAGGACCAAGCGUAGAGAGAGUUGACGGCACACAUGGAGACAAGGGAGGAGAUCAGGCAGCUUCGGCUAGACGAGGAUGUGAAUCUGCUCUGUGGGUUUCGAAUCCAAACACAGAGCGGUCAUAGAUGAAAGAGGAAGAGUCGAACCGGUGCGAGGAAAGGUGACAUUGAUGAGAUGUGGCAUAGCAACAACAGCGCGACAGAGAGAACAGACGACAGGAACAACGUGCGUUUCGAACGGCGCAACAAGAGACAGCGGUCUGUGGUGGGGCCUGCACGGUCUGCGGCAGGUAACAGUGAUAACAAAGACGCACGGGCUGCUCCGGCGCGAUAUUCCAUUGCUCCGGCACGCAAGCGAAACGCGGAAAGACUAGGCGGCGUCGGCUAGGUGAUGUCAGACCGGAGAGCAAAAAAGUGCAACAA